rnacentral:rRNA from 1 species
AUUGAACGCUGGCGGCAGGCCUAACACAUGCAAGUCGAGCGAGUGGCGGACGGGUGCGUAAUGUCUGGGGAUCUGCCUGAUGGCGGGGGAUAACUACUGGAAACGGUAGCUAAUACCGCAUACCAUCAGAUGAACCCAUAUGGGAUUAGCUAGUAGGUAAGGUAACGGCUCACCUAGGCGACGAUCACUAGCUGGUCUGAGAGGAUGACUAGCAACACUGGAACUGAGACACGGCCCAGAUUCCUACGGGAGGCAGCAGUGGGGAAUAGUGCACAAUGGGGGCAAGCCUGAUGCAGCCAUGCCGCGUGUAUGAAGAAGGCCUUCGGGUUGUAAAGUACUUUCAGUCGGGAGGCGUUACCCGCAGAAGAAGCACCGGCUAACUCCGUGCCAGCAGCCGCGGUAAGAC